rnacentral:misc_RNA from 1 species
AACGCACCUUGCGCCCUCUGGUAUUCCGGAGGGCAUGCCUGUUUGAGUGUCAUGUAGACUCAACCCCUCGGGUUUCCGAGAUGGUUGGAUUUGGAUGUUGCCAUUAGCUUGGCUCAUCUUAAAAGUCUUAGCGGAAUAGCUCCGUAGUCGACGUAAUAAGUUUCGUCGGUGAAGGUGUGAUGUCUGCUUAUAAUCGCCUUCGGGCAAUCUUUUGACUCUGACCUCAAAUCAGGUAGGGCUACCCGCUGAACUUAA